UGAAUUAUGGAGGAAGCCAAGGAAAUCUCAUCUUUGGAAAAGGCACUAAACUCUCUGUUAAACCAA